AUGACGGCGGGGCCUAAGAGCGGCGGGGGCGGCGCGGCAGCCGCGCGAGCGGCCGCUGCGGGGCCGAGGACGGUGCUCAUCACGGGGGUCAGCCGGGGGCUGGGCCGAGCUUUAGCUCUGGAGCUCGCGCGCCGGGGGCACGCCGUCGUCGGCUGCGGCCGCUCCGCCGAUCCCAUCCGCUCCCUCGAGGCCGAGAUGGGUUCCCCGUCUCGCCACUUUCUCACCGUCGCUGACGUCGUAAUGCACUCUAUUCCUCUUCCUAUUGACCUCAUGCUUACUGAUUGUAUUGUACCAGGGCGUGCCUGA
rnacentral:rRNA from 1 species